GAGAGGAGUUUGUGUGUUCUAAAUUUUAAUAUCUUGGGUUUGGAGAGUGAGAAAGAUGAGAGAGAUGAGCAAAAGAGUAUACAUAGAAAAGAAAACUCUAGGGACAAAAAGGAAGGUGUAAAGCUCUAGAUUAUGUAACAAAGAACCUUUCCCCCACAUAUAAAAAAAAAAAAAGAAUCAAAGAGAAGGUGGGGAAGGAAAUGAGAAGAGUUAGAGAAUGUAAAAAAUGAAUUAAAGUCCCUAGAGUUUUGAGUCAAAAGGAAAGGAGAGUUGUUCAUUGGGUGAGUGAUGUGAGGGGCUUAUUUUGAUUCUGAGAUGAUG
rnacentral:lncRNA from 1 species